rnacentral:misc_RNA from 1 species
GCACCUGUAGUACCAAUUAUUCGACCAACAAUUUUGUCCUGUUCCUCCACUGAAAAAUGCAUGUCAAAUAAAGGCCACAACUCAAGCUCUUCCCGAAAAACAUGUUGAUCCAGUGUUACUCUUAUGGAUUUGCACAUGCCCUGAAGCUUUGUCGCAAGCUCAUUGUACUUUCUAAAAGCAUCACUGUGAUCAGACAAACCAGAAGGUUUUCCAUUUAACUCCUCAGAAAGACUGAUACUCUUCAAGCGUUCUUGAAGUUGUGUAAGCUCAGAAAGCAAAGAUGAGAUAUCUUCAAAUAGUUUCUCUUCCUGCUUGUGGUCCAGAGUAUACGAGUGGCUAACAUUAUGGAGUGUCUCUUUAGACUCUAAUGCUGGAAACACUAUAUCAUCCUCUGCAUUACUGUGAGCUCUAUAUAAGCCCCAUAACAGACGAAAUCUACCAGUAAACUGCCUAAGCAAAGUUUCAUUACAAUCAUUUAAUUUUCCAGAUUCAACAUCCAAAUAUUCCAAGUCUUUGCGUAUAGCUU